AUUGAACGCUGGCGGCAUGCCUUCACAUGCAAGUCGAACGGCAGCACGGGUGCUUGCACCUGGUGGCGAGUGGCGAACGGGUGAGUAAUACAUCGGAACAUGUCCUGUAGUGGGGGAUAGCCCGGCGAAAGCCGGAUUAAUACCGCAUACGAUCUACGGAUGAAAGCGGGGGACCUUCGGGCCUCGCGCUAUAGGGUUGGCCGAUGGCUGAUUAGCUAGUUGGUGGGGUAAAGGCCUACCAAGGCGACGAUCAGUAGCUGGUCUGAGAGGACGACCAGCCACACUGGGACUGAGACACGGCCCAGACUCCUACGGGAGGCAGCAGUGGGGAAUUUUGGACAAUGGGCGAAAGCCUGAUCCAGCAAUGCCGCGUGUGUGAAGAAGGCCUUCGGGUUGUAAAGCACUUUUGUCCGGAAAGAAAUCCUUGGCCCUAAUACGGUCGGGGGAUGACGGUACCGGAAGAAUAAGCACCGGCUAACUACGUG
rnacentral:rRNA from 1 species